UAGAGUUUUGAUCCUGGCUCAGGACGAACGCUGGCGGCGUGCUUAACACAUGCAAGUCGAACGGUGAAGCCCUUCGGGGUGGAUCAGUGGCGAACGGGUGAGUAACACGUGGGCAAUCUGCCCUGCACUCUGGGACAAGCCCUGGAAACGGGGUCUAAUACCGGAUAUUACCUUCCUCUGCAUGGGGGUUGGUGGAAAGCUCCGGCGGUGCAGGAUGAGCCCGCGGCCUAUCAGCUUGUUGGUGGGGUAAUGGCCUACCAAGGCGACGACGGGUAGCCGGCCUGAGAGGGCGACCGGCCACACUGGGACUGAGACACGGCCCAGACUCCUACGGGAGGCAGCAGUGGGGAAUAUUGCACAAUGGGCGAAAGCCUGAUGCAGCGACGCCGCGUGAGGGAUGACGGCCUUCGGGUUGUAAACCUCUUUCAGCAGGGAAGAAGCGAAAGUGACGGUACCUGCAGAAGAAGCACCGGCUAACUACGUGCCAGCAGCCGCGGUAAUACGUAGGGUGCGAGCGUUGUCCGGAAUUAUUGGGCGUAAAGAGCUCGUAGGCGGCUUGUCACGUCGGUUGUGAAAGCCCGGGGCUUAACCCCGGGUCUGCAGUCGAUACGGGCAGGCUAGAGUUCGGUAGGGGAGAUCGGAAUUCCUGGUGUAGCGGUGAAAUGCGCAGAUAUCAGGAGGAACACCGGG
rnacentral:rRNA from 1 species